rnacentral:rRNA from 1 species
GAUUGCAGCCUGCAACUCGGCUGCAUGAAGCUGGAAUCGCUAGUAAUCGCGGAUCAGAACGCCGCGGUGAAUACGUUCCCGGGUCUUGUACACACCGCCCGUCACACCCAUGGGAGCCGGAAACGCCCGAAGCCAGCGGCCCAACCGCAAGGGGGGAGCUGUCGAAGGCGGGGCCGGUGACCGGGGUGAAGUCGUAACAAGGUACC